CGAGAUCCUACAUCAUCGAGCACGAGACACUUCCUUGACCGCUUUGACGCCUAAGACCCUACUUGGUGUACAUCGCCGCCAUCAAGCAAGACACGUCACUCGCCCGAAGAUGGAAGGGCUCGUCUCCUACCCGGACUGGGAAACAGGCUCAGCCAGCCCAUUAGGCUUCUCAGGCAUGCCAACAGAACCACCAUCAAAGGGCCCCGACUCCAUAGACCCAGAGUCAUCCACGGUGGCUGACACCGAUGCCGCUUUGACUUUGUUUCGCGAACCCCGAGGCCUGCCCUUCUUCUUGUAGACCUUAGGGCC
rnacentral:lncRNA from 1 species